rnacentral:rRNA from 1 species
UCCGCAAAAUCUGCGAUGAGCUUGGAUGAUAGAGACAUGAUCCUGGAUGUGGCCUGCUCUGUUGUGAAUGUAUCAGCCACGGAACCCGAUGGAAAUGUGGUUGUAUACUGCACCGGCAUCAUCACCGAGUAUGAUGAAGUCGGUAAGUGCGCAAAAAUCUUGUCUUCUUCCAGCAUCAUGUGUAGCGAGGAGGGCAAGCUGCGUGACCCAAAUCAGAAGGUAUCAGUUCACCUGUCAAAUGACACUGUUGUGGAGGGACGUGUGUUGUUUUUCAAUGACCACUAUGGUGUUUCUUUUCUGGAUAUCAACACGGAGUUUCCUUUGGUGCCGGCUACUUUGGGCUCUAAACCAUACUAUGGACAAAAUGUGUUUGUCUUAGAUAGAGAUGAUGAGUAUGCUUUGGUUGUUAGCCCUGGUUCGAUUCUGUAUUUGGAGAAACCUUUAUUUGAAAGGAACCACUACAUGUUUGCCAGCUAUAAUAGCUCUUUGGUGUGUCAUGACUCUACUGUUGAAAAGAUUGGCCUCCGAAGAGGGGAUGUGAUUGACUUGGAUCAUCGUUCUACUGUAGUUGAGCUUGAAGAGUUUCUUCUUGGUCUUGGUUGGGUCUUCUUGGAGAAGAAACUUGAUUCGCACUCGACCAUAGAUGUCAAGAUACGAGUUCAUGAUAUUCGUGCAAAAACAAGUGUUUGCACUAUUUUGCCUAUGGGAUUGAGCGAUGCUGUAGUGCGCUCAUACUAUUCAUCAGGUAGGUGA